AACGAACGCUGGCGGCAUGCCUAACACAUGCAAGUCGAACGAUGCUUUCGGGCAUAGUGGCGCACGGGUGCGUAACGCGUGGGAAUCUGCCCUUGGGUCUGGGAUAACAGUUGGAAACGACUGCUAAUACCGGAUGAUAUCGCGAGAUCAAAGAUUUAUCGCCCGAGGAUGAGCCCGCGUAGGAUUAGCUAGUUGGUGGGGUAAAGGCCUACCAAGGCGACGAUCCUUAGCUGGUCUGAGAGGAUGAUCAGCCACACUGGGACUGAGACACGGCCCAGACUCCUACGGGAGGCAGCAGUGGGGAAUAUUGGACAAUGGGCGAAAGCCUGAUCCAGCAAUGCCGCGUGAGUGAUGAAGGCCUUAGGGUUGUAAAGCUCUUUUACCCGGGAUGAUAAUGACAGUACCGGGAGAAUAAGCCCCGGCUAACUCCGUGCCAGCCGCCGCCGUAACAC
rnacentral:rRNA from 1 species